rnacentral:rRNA from 1 species
CAAGAUUACGCAUGCAUGUCUCAGUACAAGCCAAAUUAAGGUGAAACCGCGAAAGGCUCAUUAUAUCAGUUAUGGUUCCUUAGAUCGUACCCACAUUUACUUGGAUAACUGUGGUAAUUCUAGAGCUAAUACAUGCAAACAGAGUUCCAACCAGAGAUGGAAGGAAUGCUUUUAUUAGAUCAAAACCAAUCGGUGUUGCAUUAUAUUUAUUUAAUAUAGGUAUUAAUGUUGCAUCGUUUUACUUGGUGACUCUGAAUAACUUUAAGCUGAUCGCACGGUCUCGUACCGGCGACGCAUCCUUCAAAUGUCUGCCUUAUCAACUGUCGAUGGUAGGUUCUGCGCCUACCAUGGUUGUAACGGGUAACGGGGAAUCAGGGUUCGAUUCCGGAGAGGGAGCCUGAGAAACGGCUACCACAUCCAAGGAAGGCAGCAGGCGCGCAAAUUACCCACUCCCGGCACGGGGAGGUAGUGACGAAAAAUAACGAUACGGGACUCAUCCGAGGCCCCGUAAUCGGAAUGAGUACACUUUAAAUCCUUUAACGAGGAUCAAUUGGAGGGCAAGUCUGGUGCCAGCAGCCGCGGUAAUUCCAGCUCCAAUAGCGUAUAUUAAAGUUGUUGCGGUUAAAAAGCUCGUAGUCGAAUCUGUGUCCCACACUGUCGGUUCACCGCUCGCGGUGUUUAACUGGCAUGUUAUGUGGGACGUCCUACCGGUGGAUGGUGUUUAAUUAUUGCUUCUUGUAAUCCUGUAUAGAAUUUUUACAAUUUUAUAUAGUUGCAAUUAGCAUAAAUAUAAUUAACCGUAAGUGUUUAGCCGUGAAGAACGGCGGCAACCAUCCUAUUGCAAUCCCGUCGCGGUGCUCUUAACUGAGUGUCGAGGUGGGCCGGUACGUUUACUUUGAACAAAUUAGAGUGCUUAAGGCAGGCUCAAAUUUCGCCUGAAUAUUGUGUGCAUGGAAUAAUGGAAUAGGACCUCGGUUCUAUUUUGUUGGUUUUCGGAACUCCGAGGUAAUGAUUAAUACGGACAGAUGGGGGCAUUCGUAUUGCGACGUUAGAGGUGAAAUUCUUGGAUCGUCGCAAGACGGACAGAAGCGAAAGCAUUUGCCAAAAAUGUUUUGAUUGAUCAAGAACGAAAGUUAGAGGUUCGAAGGCGAUCAGAUACCGCCCUAGUUCUAACCAUAAACGAUGCCAGCUAGCGAUCCGCCGAAGUUCCUCCGAUGACUCGGCGGGCAGCUUCCGGGAAACCAAAGCUUUUGGGUUCCGGGGGAAGUAUGGUUGCAAAGCUGAAACUUAAAGGAAUUGACGGAAGGGCACCACCAGGAGUGGAGCCUGCGGCUUAAUUUGACUCAACACGGGAAACCUCACCAGGCCCGGACACCGGAAGGAUUGACAGAUUGAGAGCUCUUUCUUGAUUCGGUGGGUGGUGGUGCAUGGCCGUUCUUAGUUGGUGGAGCGAUCUGUCUGGUUAAUUCCGAUAACGAACGAGACUCUAGCCUGCUAAAUAGACGUACUUUACCGGCAUCUCAAGGCCCACCGGCUGUUUGUUUUCCGUUAUGCUGUUACAUGUUAUACGUUUAAUAUUAUUCACUGGUAUAUUGAAGGUUUUAAAUGUAUGUUUACUUAACGGUGGCAUAUAUUAUAUUAUUGGAUGUAUAUUAUGUGUUUAUAUUUUAUGUUGCGUGUUGACACGUGCGGGCUACAGUUAUUUGGUGUGGUUUUUACUGCCGGCGUACAUUUAUAUCUUCUUAGAGGGACAGGCGGCUUCUAGCCGCACGAGAUUGAGCAAUAACAGGUCUGUGAUGCCCUUAGAUGUCCUGGGCCGCACGCGCGCUACACUGAAGGAAUCAGCGUGUCCUCCCUGGCCGAAAGGCCCGGGUAACCCGCUGAACCUCCUUCGUGCUAGGGAUUGGGGCUUGCAAUUGUUCCCCAUGAACGAGGAAUUCCCAGUAAGCGCGAGUCAUAAGCUCGCGUUGAUUACGUCCCUGCCCUUUGUACACACCGCCCGUCGCUACUACCGAUUGAAUGAUUUAGUGAGGUCUUCGGACUGGUACGCGGCAAUGUUUCUGACAUUACCUAUGUUGCUGGGAAGAUGACCAAACUUGAUCAUUUAGAGGAAGUAAAAGUCGUAACAGGUUUCCGUA